UACGUAGGGACCGAGCGUUGUCCGGAAUCAUUGGGCGUAAAGAGCGUGUAGGCGGCCUUUUAAGUCCUGCGUGAAAUCCUGCGGCUCAACCGCAGACGGUCGUGGGAAACUGGAAGGCUAGAGUGCGGGAGAGGAGAGUGGAAUUCCGGUGUAGCGGUGAAAUGCGCAGAUAUCGGGAAGAACACCCGUGGCGAAGGCGGCUCUCUGGAACGCAACUGACGCUGAGACGCGAAAGCGUGGGGAGCAAACAGG
rnacentral:rRNA from 1 species